GCUGGAAUUGCUAGUAAUGGCAGGUCAGCAUACUGCCGUGAAUACGUUCCCGGGCCCUUGUACACACCGCCCGUCACACCAUGAGAGUUGGGAAUACCCGAAGCCUGUGAGCUAACUUAUAGAGGCAGCAGUCGAAGGUAGAAUCAAUGAUUGGGGUGAAGUCGUAACAAGGUAAC
rnacentral:rRNA from 1 species